GACGAACGCUGGCGGCGUGCUUAACACAUGCAAGUCGAACGAAGAGCGAUGGAAGCUUGCUUCUAUCAAUCUUAGUGGCGAACGGGUGAGUAACGCGUAAUCAACCUGCCCUUCAGAGGGGGUCAACAGUUGGAAACGACUGCUAAUACCGCAUACGAUCUGACCUCGGCAUCGAGGAUAGAUGAAAGGUGGCCUCUACAUGUAAGCUAUCACUGAAGGAGGGGAUUGCGUCUGAUUAGCUAGUUGGAGGGGUAACGGCCCACCAAGGCGAUGAUCAGUAGCCGGUCUGAGAGGAUGAACGGCCACAUUGGGACUGAGACACGGCCCAGACUCCUACGGGAGGCAGCAGUGGGGAAUCUUCCGCAAUGGACGAAAGUCUGACGGAGCAACGCCGCGUGAGUGAUGACGGCCUUCGGGUUGUAAAGCUCUGUUAAUCGGGACGAAAGGCCUUUUUGCGAAUAGUGAGAGGGAUUGACGGUACCGGAAUAGAAAGCCACGGCUAACUACGUG
rnacentral:rRNA from 1 species